ACUGGUUGACCCAGAAGGCCCUUAUCGGUGCUUUCAUUGGAGGGCUUAGGCCCGAACUCGCAGAUGGGAUAUGCAUGUUCCGGCCCAAAACUUUAAAGGAUGCAAUCGGCUUGGCCCGCAUACAUGAAGAAUAGGUGGAUCGCCAGAAAAGAUUGAACCGACUGGAGUGAGUUAUAGUCGGCCCGAGCGUGACGCCAGCCGCUUCCAACACACAAAUCGUUCGAAGUCAGCAAACCCUAACCGGCCCAAACUCUAUAAAACACAUCUCCUAGGAUGAGAUGCAACGGUGGCAUGCCCAAGGUCUUUGUUUCAACUGCGAUGAGAGGUUCACCAUAGGUCAUCGAUGUCGCAAACCGCAAUUGCUAAUACGCGAAGGCGAGAGCAUCAAAGAGGAAGAAGCCGACGCUGAUGAUCCAGAGAUUUCACUCAUGCCCUCACUGGAUGGCCUACGGCACGAAUGAUGAAGGUUUCUGCCUCGAUACGAAGACAGAGGUUCACGACCUCAUCGACAGUGGGUCUAUCCACAAUUUUCUUAGCGAUCGAGUCACCGACCGUCUAUAGCUUCCUGUGAUUUUGACCCCUUUGUUUCUAGUGAAGAUCGCGAACGAAGAACCCAUGAGAUGCUCUAAUCGAUUCAAGAAUGUUCCAAUGUCAAUCCAAGGUAUCCCUUUUACUCUUAUGUUUUACUCAUUACCACUGACUGGGCUUGAUGUAGUGCUAGUGCGAUUGGAAAAAGCUGACUAUGGAGUUCUAGUGGAUGAAUAAGCCGCAAAAACAGCGUGAGUUAGGCGCGCCUCCCCUCCAGGCGGCAUCUCUGAAGGAGAUCAACUGAGCAUGUCCAAGCCACUACUCCAUAUAUGUGGUCUGCUUCAUGGCCGAAGGCAAGAAUCCCUCUUUGGCAGACCGACCAAACUUACAGAAUCUGUUGAAGCAAUUUUUUGAGCUGUUCAGUGAGCCUAAUCAGCUACCACCGCAGAGAGACAUCGAACACCAGAUUCCUCUCAAGGAUGGCACCGAAUCCAUCAACGUUUGACCAUAUCGAUACGCCUACUUUUAGAAGUUAGAAAUUGAGAGACAAGUUUCAGAUAUACUUAAUUCCAGACUCAUACGUCCAAGCACUAGUCCCUUCUCCUCUCCAGUUUUGUUAGCGAGAAAGAAGGAUGUGACUUGGCAAUUCUGUAUUGAUUACAGAGCCCUCAAUGCAGUCACUAUCAAAGAUUGUUUUCCCUUUCUUACCGUGGAGGACAUGUUAGAUGAACUAUAUGGGGCGAUUUAUUUCACCAAAUUGGACCUCGCUGCCGGGUACCAUCAAGUGCGGGUCCACCCCUUCGACAUCCAGAAAAUCGCUUUCUGGACCCACAAUGGACACUAUGAAUAUCUGAAAGCAGGAGUUUUCAGAAGUCUUGUUGAACCAAGGAGCGAGGAUCAAUUUAUCGGUAAGUCUGUGGCAUUUGUUCUUUUCUUGUUUAUAUUUUCUAGUGUUUAUUUUUACUUUCUUUUAGGAUUGUAGACCCAAUUAGAGAGAUGAGUUUAAUUUUAGGUGGUUAUUAUUUCGGUAUUGCAUACAUUGAGUGGGUUUCAAGAGCAGAUUUGAUCUUUCCCAUACCCUCCUUCGUCACCUUAUAUGUGAUGUAUAGUUCCCCUGCAAUGUAAAUAUUUAUUUUAUGUCUGCUCUUUUGGACAUUGGUGUCUUAUUUGGCAUUGGGAUAUCAUACCCUAAGUUUAUUAAUUAACAACUGCUAACUUUUUAUAACAAUUAUUAA